rnacentral:tRNA from 1 species
GGGGAUAUAGCUCAGUUGGUAGAGCACCUGCUUUGCAAGCAGGGGGUCAGCGGUUCGAACCCGCUUAUCUCCACCA